rnacentral:misc_RNA from 1 species
AUGCGAUAAGUAAUGUGAAUUGCAGAAUUCCGUGAAUCAUCGAAUCUUUGAACGCACAUUGCGCCCCCUGGUAUUCCGGGGGGCAUGCCUGUCCGAGCGUCAUUGCAACCCUCAAGCGCGGCUUGCGUGUUGGGCGCCGUCCCUGGUGGACGCGCCCGAAAGGCAGUGGCGGUACCGUGCUCCGGUGCCCGAGCGUAUGGGCUUCAAACCCGCUCUGGUGGCCCGGCCGGCGCUGGCCUCGACCCUCAACUUUACCAGGUUGACCUCGGAUCAGGUAGGGAUACCCGCUGAACUUAA